AGGGCAUUCGCAAAGCCUCUUGUUCACCGACCUUGGAUUACUCCCUUCUCGUUACUAUGGAACCCUUCCCCCUCACCUUUGGCUUGUUCUUCUCCUCACCAUCAGCGUGCUUCUUGCUUCACUGGUUCGUUUUUGCUGUUCGUCCGUUUGCUGUGUGGUAGUGAGCUAAAUUUCUGCUCUGAUUUUCGCUGUUCUGUGGCUGAAAGUGCUGCUCGGAGAUGUUCUCUUCCUCUUCUUCAGUUCCGGUCACGUGCUGACUCAAGGGAGCUACUGCAGUUUCGUUGAAGCCUUAGGAGAAGGCUCGGUCGAUGUUUGAGCGGGCCAUGGCACGGAAGGGAGUUUAAAUUUUUGUGAGACUUUUUGUGUUAUGUGUCAAGCCGAGCGUGUCAAUGUGUCAUGACAUACAUGCAAAAAUUAGCACUUAUCAGACACGAAAACAAAUCGAAAACAGAAGAAAGAAAGAGAGAUAAUGAGAGAGUGAUGGAGAAGAGCUUGUGUUCUGCUAGGGCACGAUCCUUAGGUCAUGUUGGGAGCAUUUGGAGCUUGAAUCACCAUUGGGAGACAGGAGGAAGUUUGCUUGACUUGCAGUCCCUAUUGAUCUUACUAAGCCACUCAUUUCUAAUAUUCAAGUUGAUGGAGAAACCAUAUACAUGGAAUAUGAGAGCCUACCUACAAUAUGCUUCCAUUAUGGAAGAUACAGCCACCGUGAAGAGCAUUGCCCUGAAAAGACACAAGCAAUGACUACAACUACAACAGAAUAAUCACAGCAACCACCUGAAUUCAUUACUCACCAACCACCUUCUGAUGACCGUAAAAAGGUAAAGUAUGUCUCAUAGAUGUGGGUCCUCCCACGGUUUACAUGUAGGUAUGAUAGAGGUGGGAGGAAGGAGGAUGCUGCGCUAUGCAAGGGUAUUGGAACAAGCAUGAGGUAUGAAAUCCUUAACAUGGCAGAGGAAUUGGAGGAACCACGACAAGC